rnacentral:rRNA from 1 species
CACGUAGGAGGCAAACGUUAUCCGGAUUUACUGGGCGUAAAGCGCGUGUAGGUGGUUCUGUAAGUAGGGCGUGAAAGCUCCCGGCUCAACUGGGAGAGGCCGUUCUAAACUGCAGAGCUAGAGGAUGGUAGAGGGAGGUGGAAUUCCAGGUGUAGCGGUGGAAUGCGCAGAUAUCUGGAGGAACACCAGUGGCGUAGGCGGCCUCCUGGACCAUUCCUGACACUCAGACGCGAAAGCUAGGGUAGCAAACGGGAUUAGAUACCCGGGUAGUCCCU